rnacentral:rRNA from 1 species
GACGAACGCUGGCGGCGCGCUUAACACAUGCAAGUCGAACGGAAAGGCCUGCUUUCCCUUGUGGAUUGCGGGUACUCGAGUGGCGAACGGGUGAGUAACACGUGAGUGAUCUGCCCCCAACUUGGGUAUAAGCCUGGGAAACUGGGUCUAAUUCCCGAUAGGACUGCAGGGUGGUGCCUGUGGUGGAAAACGAUUUUCUAGUGGUUGGGGAUGAGCUCGCGGCCUAUCAGCUUGUUGGUGGGGUAAUGGCCUACCAAGGCGGCGACGGGUAGCCGGCCUGAGAGGGUGGACGGGCACAUUGGGACUGGGAUACGGCCCAGACGCCUACGGGAGGCAGCAGUGGGGAAUAGUGCACAAUGGGCGGAAGCCUGAUGCAGCGACGCCGCGUGGGGGAUGACGGCCUUCGGGUUGUAAACUCCUUUCGACCGCGAGGAAGCCACCUGGUUGGAAGGGUGGUGACGGUAGUGGUAGAAGAAGCACCGGCUAACUACGUG